rnacentral:piRNA from 1 species
UGCAGAUGCUUCCAGGCUGGUGGAUA